rnacentral:siRNA from 1 species
AUCUUUGUGUUCCUGUUAUGAAAC